AUUGAACGCUGGCGGCAUGCUUUACACAUGCAAGUCGAACGGUAACAGGCCUUCGGGUGCUGACGAGUGGCGAACGGGUGAGUAAUGCAUCGGAACGUACCCAGAGGUGGGGGAUAACGCAGCGAAAGCUGUGCUAAUACCGCAUGUGAUCUGAGGAUGAAAGCGGGGGACCGAGCAGCAAUGUUUGGCCUCGCGCCUUUGGAGCGGCCGAUGUCGGAUUAGCUAGUUGGUGGGGUAAAGGCCUACCAAGGCGACGAUCCGUAGCUGGUCUGAGAGGACGACAGGCCACACUGGGACUGGGACACGGCCCAGACUCCUACGGGAGGCAGCAGUGGGGAAUUUUGGACAAUGGGCGCAAGCCUGAUCCAGCAAUGCCGCGUGCGGGAAGAAGGCCUUCGGGUUGUAAACCGCUUUUGGCAGGAACGAAACGGUGUCCGCUAAUACCGGGCGCUAAUGACGGUACCUGCAGAAUAAGCACCGGCUAACUACGUG
rnacentral:rRNA from 1 species